GUGUUUUUUUUAUAUGUGGUCGGCAGUAUUUCAAUAUUUAAAAUCCUCGACCAGACAAGCAUUUUUUUUUCCUAACGUUUUUCUUUUCCUUCUAUGUUGUCUCAUAGAAUGAAAUACUUUCUUGGCCGAGCUAACUGAACCAGCUGUGCCCGCGUCCGACAACUAUCCAUCACGUUUUAUGGCUGUUUUAUCCAUAUCCUAAAGUCAGUAGGUGCGUCUUUAGUUGGCAUUAGUCCUUAUUAAGGUAAAGUAAAGACAGAUUUAUGUGAUACCUUCCAAAGAAAAUCCGUACGUGUUAAACGGCUACUUACAUUAUCAAGAGAUUGAAAAUACAGUCACCAGACUACACAGCUAUAUAGUAAAUACAGUAUUCAAUGCGAUUAAAGACUCUCUUUUUCUCUUUAGGUGUAAAUUUUAGAUUAAAUUCUUACUUCAAGAACAACCGUCAGACCUGCUACAGAUUCCCACAUCCAGAUGGUCUACACACACAGCUAUGGAGCUAUAUUCUGAGAUAUGAAGUAAAUUUGAGUGGAAAAAAAAGGCGCGAGACUGAAAUUUUGCGAGGAGUUGAGUUGGUUAAUGCUCAACUGCUGCUUCUUUCAUCGACAACGAAAGGAUGGAAGACCAACGAAAUCGACCGUGGUGCAGACAACUUUGAUUGCCUCCUUUCCUGAUUCGACACCUUGAAGGCCACAUGAACGCUGGCUGUAGUCACAUUUCGAUCAAUGUAGUAUAUAAGCUACCGCAUGUACUUUCCAGCUCUACCCUGAACACACACAGCGGGCACGUAGAAAGAAAAAGGACAGACGAAAACGAAAAUAUACUAUGAGAAACUUUUGCAUGAAAAAUAUAUAGUAAAGUGCAAGAUACCAAACUUGACGUGGCGAACUCUGCAUAAUUGUUCAUCGAAAGAAA